AGCUGGGGAGCUACCACAACAGACGGAAGAACCAGAUCCAAUGAUAUGUGUAAGAAGAAUAAUUUCAGUGCAAUUGAAAGAACAGAUGCACAAUUGACUCUGUCAAGUGAUGGAAUGACCCGUCUCAAAUAAAGCCAAUGAGAGUUGCUCUUCAAGCUGAAACUUCAGCCCAAAUCAACUUUUACUCUCAUAAUGAUGAAAAGGAAACUGGCAGCUGCUUGGGGCAUAACAACCAACACAUCCUUUGAUCUGAUCUUUUUCUGCAUCCUCACUUCUUUAUGACUCCUCCAUUACUUAGAGAUUGAAGGCUGGAGUGCAGUGGCAUGAUCACAGCUCACUGCAGAUUUGAUCCCCUGGGGUCAGGAGGUCCUGGUACUUCAGCCUCCCGAGUAGCUGAGACAGACGACUACAGCACGGAGUGAGGAUAGAAUAUAUUAUCAAUAGCUACAGCUAUUUCUAUCGAUGAUGAAGUUUCCAGACCUCAGUGCACAAGAUACUGAUCUACGUCAUCCACUGACUCAUUCAACAAACAUGUGCUGAGUACUGGGCCCUGAGCUAGACACAGAGAUAAAUGGAACAUAACCCUGGAUCUCAAAGAUCUUCCAUCCACUGGAGCUGAUAAUGCAUUGUAUCAUUUAAGGAUGCUCUUGGCUGCAAGUAACAGGAAACCUCAACUCAAAAUAGCUGAACAAUGAGGACACCUACAGAAAUGCAAAUUUACAGGAGUGGUGAGCUUCAAGGAUGGCCCAUCUGGUGACUCAGUAAUGGCCAAGAAUCCAGGUGCCAUCUGGUUGCUUCACUCUGCUUUCCAUAAUUUUGACCUCAUCCUAAGACAGCAUGCACUCACAAUUGCAGGAUGGCUCCUAGUAGCAGUUUUGGCUACAUGCUUUUCUAUUCAUGCAUGACUGGAGAGAGUAAGCUUGGCCUCUCAUAGGUCUCUUGGUGCUAAGAGGAACUUUCCCGGAAGCUUCUAACAAACUUCUCUUUAUGUCCUGCUGGACAUAGUUGGGGCACAGAUCCCUUACUAAACCAGUGUGGAAUGGGACCCAUCAGCCUGUACCUCUGCCCCUGAAUUCCUUUCCUUUAUCUGUUCCUCCCUACGUGAGUGAAUGGGACCACCAUUCUCCAGUUGCUCAGCCAAAAACCACGAAGUCAUUCUUAACUCCUGCCCUUGAUCCAAUCUCCUCAACUAAUCCACCCUCACUCAUCCCUGACUGUUAGGGUUGAAUUGUAUCUAACCUCACACCUCCAGAUUUAUAUACUAAAGUCCUAACUCCCCAAACCUCA